rnacentral:rRNA from 1 species
ACUUUCAACAACGGAUCUAUUGGUUCUGGCAUCGAUGAAGAACGCAGCGAAUUGCGAUAAGUAAUGCGAAUUGCAGAAUUCUCGUGAGUCAUCGAAUCUUUGAACGCACAUUGCGCCCUUUGGUAUUCCGAAGGGCAUGCCUGUUCGAGCGUCAUUU